CCCCCCCCCAGCCUCUCCGUCGAGGCGGACGGCGGAAGAAGCAGCCCGAGCAGCGUGGAGCGGGAAUCGGUGUCAGCAAACGAGCACGCUUCUCUCAGGCCGUUCGUCGUAGAGGCAAUGGACGCGAUACACGAAAUGGAGGACACCUACAAAAAUUCUGCAGCCAUUGCUGGGAACACCGUGACAAUGUUAGAAGCUUUCUCAAAGGCAGCCCUUUCAACUAGCGCUGCGCACUUGGUGCAGAUCGCGAGUCAAGUCGCAGGGAUAGCCGAUGAUUCGAUUGCUAGUAAGGUCAAGCUCGUCAAAGCUGCUCGUCGACUAUCUCGAAUAGAAGCUUCUGGAAAGGCUCAUGUCGUACGCGAGCUUAUACUUGAGCCCGCCACACUCGCACGAGAAGCUGAAAAUGUAGGAAACGAGAUCCUCAGGUGCAGUGCCAUUGACUUGGGGAAACGCUGGGCGUUCUUUCCUACAACUCGCUGCUUUGCACAACAUGGAUGGACUGGUGGAAGAGCAAGCCGACCAAGAUAAUGAGGAAGUCCCAGAGCAACCGACAACCUGGAUCUCUUCAUGGUGGUCCAAAAGGAAAAGAAUGAGAGAUAUUGAAUCUUUGAAGGCUCCUUUGCUAAAUCCAGCUGCCUCAAUGGUCAGGGACAAUACCUCUACCACCGUUCCACAGGGCCAGGGGAGGCUAUGUGACAAGUGGCUAGGCAUGCAGACAUGCGCCCUUGCAAUGUCUCUCAGUUUGCUCCCCUACAUGGGAAGAGAUGGCCUUUUUAAGGAUAAAACAAUUUUCUCAAGUAAUUAUCUGUGGCGGGUGGAUUUGCUAUUCAAGUUGUGGUGGGGCUUGGUAGCUCUUGGCGUGCCUUGCAGUUUGUAUGGUCGCGGUUGUAUGGCGCAGCAGUAUGCCCGUGUGUCCGGCCACUUGGCAAUACUUGGCCUGAUUUUUCUUGUUGGCAUGUUCUCUCAUUGGAUACUGGAGAUUGAGGCGAUUGAGGCGACAAUACUGUUGAAAUCUUUUCUUGGCCUUACAGCCGCGGGUUUUAUUUGCUUGUUCAUAGCUUGCUGCGCAGCGGGUGACCUGUAAUGCUACUGGAGCAAAGGAAUUUCGGGAGAAGAUUGACAGCAUUGGUGGUAUUUUGGAGAAGCAAAUUGUACAUUAGCAGGAUUCACAUUGCGCUACUAAAAGUGAACGUUCUUGUCGUUACAGCUGUGGGUUUUACUUGUUUGUUCAUAGCUUGCUGCGUGGCGGGGCACCUGUGAUGCUACAACAGCAAAGAAUUUUUGGGGGAAGAUUGACAACAACGGUGGUGUUUUGGAGAAGCAAACUGUACAUUACUAGGAUUCACACUGCAGUGCAUGUGCUGCUCAUGAGGGCUACUAAAAGUGAGCGUGUGAUACACGCGGGCCGUUAAGCAGUAUUCAUCAUAGAUUUGGUACAUAUCGCCAUGGAAGGUGUGUGAUGUGCAAUACCGUGACUGCAUAACUCUUUUUUCUUUUGACUUUCGCCCGUAUAACUUCGAUAGUCAACACUAGGUGAAUUGGUGCUCCACAGUGUUAAUAAAGCACUAAUCCCCUUUUUAGAUGUUAUUUGCUGGAUGCUGUAAUACAUUCAUACGACAUAUACCAGCGAUGUCACGUAUGAAAGAAUCCAGACGGAUCUACGGAUGGGGAGGGGUUGAAUACCCUCAAACGUCUGCUGGGGCGCCCAGUCCUCCCUGUACCCGCCCAGAUCUGUGAGGUACUCACUAGUUCUUCCUCUUCUAUCUAUGGCGAUUACAGACUUGAUUCGAUUACAACUUGGGAGAAGGGAAGAAGGG